UCUCCGUUGGUGAACCAGCGGAGGGAUCAGUACCGAGUUUACAACUCCCAAACCCCUGUGAACAUACCAUUUGUUGCCUCGGCGGUGCCUGCUUCGGCAGCCCGCCAGAGGACCCAAACCCUUGAUUUUAUACAGUAUCUUCUGAGUAAAUGAUUAAAUAAAUCAAAACUUUCAACAACGGAUCUCUUGGUUCUG
rnacentral:misc_RNA from 1 species